GUAAGUUUAGUUUAAUUAAAAACUUUAGAUCGUGACUCUAACAAUAGGAGUUAAAGCCUCUUAACUUACC
rnacentral:tRNA from 1 species